rnacentral:rRNA from 1 species
CCUACGGGGGGCAGCAGUGGGGAAUUUUGGACAAUGGGCGCAAGCCUGAUCCAGCCAUGCCGCGUGCAGGAUGAAGGCCUUCGGGUUGUAAACUGCUUUUGUACGGAACGAAAAGGUGCCUUCUAAUAAAGGGCGCUCAUGACGGUACCGUAAGAAUAAGCACCGGCUAACUACGUGCCAGCAGCCGCGGUAAUACGUAGGGUGCGAGCGGGCAUCGGGCGUGCGGGGCGGGUAUCGUACGCAGGCGGUGAAAUCCCCGGGCUCAACCUGGGAACUGCCUUUGUGACUGCAAGGCUGGAGUGCGGCAGAGGGGGAUGGAAUUCCGCGUGUAGCAGUGAAAUGCGUAGAUAUGCGGAGGAACACCGAUGGCGAAGGCAAUCCCCUGGGCCUGCACUGACGCUCAUGCACGAAAGCGUGGGGAGCAAACAGGAUUAGAUACCCCUGUAGUC